ACGGUAACAGGUUAAGCUGACGAGUGGCGAACGGGUGAGUAAUAUAUCGGAACGUGCCCAGUCGUGGGGGAUAACUGCUCGAAAGAGCAGCUAAUACCGCAUACGACCUGAGGGUGAAAGCGGGGGAUCGCAAGACCUCGCGCGAUUGGAGCGGCCGAUAUCAGAUUAGGUAGUUGGUGGGGUAAAGGCCCACCAAGCCAACGAUCUGUAGCUGGUCUGAGAGGACGACCAGCCACACUGGGACUGAGACACGGCCCAGACUCCUACGGGAGGCAGCAGUGGGGAAUUUUGGACAAUGGGCGCAAGCCUGAUCCAGCCAUGCCGCGUGCGGGAAGAAGGCCUUCGGGUUGUAAACCGCUUUUGUCAGGGAAGAAAAGGUUCUGGUUAAUACCUGGGACUCAUGACGGUACCUGAAGAAUAAGCACCGGCUAACUACGUGCCAGCAGCCGCGGUAAUACGUAGGGUGCAAGCGUUAAUCGGAAUUACUGGGCGUAAAGCGUGCGCAGGCGGUUAUGCAAGACAGAGGUG
rnacentral:rRNA from 1 species